rnacentral:rRNA from 1 species
AACGAACGCUGGCGGCGUGCUUAACACAUGCAAGUCGAACGAUGAAGUUCCUUCGGGAAUGGAUUAGUGGCGAACGGGUGAGGAACACGUGAGAAACCUGCCUUUCAUUUUGGGAUAACUCCGGGAAACCGGGGCUAAAACCGAAUACUCCGUCUCGGCGGCAUCGCUGAGCCGGGAAAAAAUUUUGAUGAAAGAUGGUCUCGCGGCCUAUCAGCUAGUUGGUGAGGUAAUGGCUCACCAAGGCAACGACGGGUAGCCGGCCUGACGAGGGCGACCGGCCACACUGGGACUGAGACACGGCCCAGACUCCUACGGGAGGCAGCAGUGGGGAAUAUUGGGCAAUGGGCGCAAGCCUGACCCAGCGACGCCGCGUGAGGGAUGAAGGCCUUCGGGUUGUAAACCUCUUUCAGUAGGGAAGAAGCGAAAGUGACGGUACCUAAAGAAGAAGCACCGGCUAACUAUGUGCCAGCCGCCGCAGUAA